rnacentral:rRNA from 1 species
ACGGGAGGCAGCAGUGAGGAAUAUUGGUCAAUGGGCGGAAGCCUGAACCAGCCAAGUCGCGUGAAGGAUGAAGGUAUUAUGUAUUGUAAACUUCUUUAGCCAGGGGGCAAUAAGGCGUACGCGUACGCCGAUGAGAGUACCUGGAGAAUAAGGAUCGGCUAACUCCGUGCCAGCAGCCGCGGUAAUACGGAGGAUCCGAGCGUUAUCCGGAUUUAUUGGGUUUAAAGGGUGCGUAGGCGGGCUGUUAAGUCAGCGGUGAAACCCCCGGGCUCAACCCGGGGACUGCCAUUGAAACUGGCGGCCUUGAGUACGUUGGGAGUGCGCGGAAUGUGUGGUGUAGCGGUGAAAUGCAUAGAUAUCACACAGAACACCGAUCGCGUAGGCAGCGCACUACGCCGCAACUGACGCUGAGGCACGAAGGCGCGGGGAUCGAACAGGAUUAGAUACCCUGGUA